ensembl:lncRNA
UUUACAAGAAGAUGCUUGUUUGACAAAUAUUUCAGUAACUCUGUUGCCUCACAUAGGUUAUCAGAGCUGUUAAGAUAUCACUGAAUAAUCAGGUGGAAGAAGACUGACGGAUUUAAGCCCAAUUUUUGUGGAAAUUAGUGAAGGAAAUAUACAUUAUUUGUACAUUGAAGGCAGAUAAGGCCUGAGGAGACAAAGCAGCAGCUACUGCAAUACAUUCUAACCAUUAAACAGAAGCCCAGCUGUCAUGACGGUUUUGUGAGCCCUGUCUGAGAUCAGGGUCCCACAUGGACAUCUGCAGCUUCAAAGAAUCCCAA